rnacentral:rRNA from 1 species
UACGGAGGAUGCAAGCGUUAUCCGGAUUCAUUGGGUUUAAAGGGUGCGCAGGCGGAGAGAUAAGUCAGUGGUGAAAAACUGCCGCUCAACGGUAGUCUUGCCAUUGAUACUGUCUUUCUUGAGUAUGGAUGAGGUAGGCGGAAUGUGCAGUGUAGCGGUGAAAUGCAUAGAUAUUGCACGGAACACCAAUUGCGAAGGCAGCUUACUGGACCAUUACUGACGCUCUGGCACGAAGGCGUGGGGAU